rnacentral:rRNA from 1 species
UACGAAGGGUGCAAGCGUUAAUCGGAAUUACUGGGCGUAAAGCGUGCGUAGGCGGUUAUUUAAGUCCGUUGUGAAAGCCCUGGGCUCAACCUGGGAACUGCAGUGGAUACUGGAUGGCUGGAGUACGGUAGAGGAAGGUGGAAUUCCCGGUGUAGCGGUGAAAUGCGUAGAGAUCGGGAGGAACAUCAGUGGCGAAGGCGGCCUUCUGGACCAGUACUGACGCUGAGGCACGAAAGCGUGGGGAGCAAACAGGAUUAGAUACCCUGGUAGUCCACGCCCUAAACGAUGCGAACUGGACGUUGGGCACAACUUGGUGCUCAGUGUCGAAGCUAACGCGUUAAGUUCGCCGCCUGGGGAGUACGCUCGCAAGAGUGAA